rnacentral:rRNA from 1 species
GGCUUUUUGAAAGUAAUAUAAUUUAAAGUCAAACCUGCCCAAUGAUUAAUAAUUUAAUGGCCGCAGUAUUUUAACUGUGCAAAGGUAGCAUAAUCAAUAGUUUUUUAAUUGAAAGCUUGUAUGAAGGGUUUAAUGAAAAAAUGACUGUCUCUAUAAAAAUUAUUUAGAAAUUUAUUUUUAAGUUAAAAAGCUUAGAUUUUCAUUGAAGACGAGAAGACCCUAUAGAGUUUUAUAAAUAAUAUAUUUAAUAAAUUUUGGAAUUUUAAAUUUAAGUUUAUUAAAUUUUUAAUUGGGGUGAUUAAAAAAUUAAAAAAACUUUUUUUUAAUUUGGAACAUAGAUUUAUGAUAAUUUGAUCCUUUAAAAAGAUUAUAAAAAUAAAUUACCUUAGGGAUAACAGCGUAAUUUUAUUUAAAGUUCUUAUUAAAAAUAAAGAUUGCGACCUCGAUGUUGGAUUAAAAUAAAUUAUUGGUGUAGAAGCUAAUUUAAUUAGGUCUGUUCGACCUUUAAAAUUUUACAUGAUCUGAGUUUAAACCGGUGUAA